GAUGAACGCUGGCGGCGCGCCUAAUACAUGCAAGUCGAGCGACGAAACAGUUCUUCGUAAGAAGAGCUGCUGAAAGCGGCGAACGGGUGAGUAACACGUGGGCAACGUGCCCCUGACUUCGGGAUAACAACGGGAAACCGUUGCUAAUACCGUAUAAACCUGCAGCACCGCAUGGUGCAACAGGCAAAGUUUUUCGGUCAGGGAUCGGCCCGCGGCCUAUCAGCUUGNGGUGGGGUAACGGCCUACCAAGGCAUUGACGGGUAGCUGGCGUGAGAGCGCGGCCAGCCACACUGGGACUGAGACACGGCCCAGACUCCUACGGGAGGCAGCAGUAGGGAAUCUUGCGCAAUGGGCGAAAGCCUGACGCAGCGACGCCGCGCGUGGGAUGAAUGCCUU
rnacentral:rRNA from 1 species